rnacentral:rRNA from 1 species
UUCAACGGCCGCGGUAUUUUGACCGUGCAAAGGUAGCGCAAUCACUUGUCCUUUAAAUGAGGACCCGUAUGAAUGGCUUAACGAGGGCUUAACUGUCUCCUUCCCCUAGUCAAUGAAAUUGAUCUCCCCGUGCAGAAGCGGGGAUAAACACAUAAGACGAGAAGACCCUUUGGAGCUUUAGACAACAAGCAGACCAUUAUCCCUCCCCUCAUAUAAAAGAAACAAACCAAUUGGACCCUGCUUUACUGUCUUUGGUUGGGGCGACCGCGGGGAAACAAAAAACCCCCAUGUGGAACGGGAGAUCAUCUCCUAUAACCAAGACCCACAGCUCUAAGUUUCAGAACUUCUGACCAAAAAGAUCCGGCAAUGCCGAUCAACGAACCGAGUUACCCUAGGGAUAACAGCGCAAUCCCCUUCUAGAGCCCAUAUCGACAAGGGGGUUUACGACCUCGAUGUUGGAUCAGGACAUCCUAAUGGUGCAGCCGCUAUUAAGGGUUCGUUUGUUCAACGAUUAAAGUCC